UACGUAGGGUGCGAGCGUUAAUCGGAAUUACUGGGCGUAAAGCGUGCGCAGGCGGUUUUGUAAGCCCGAUGUGAAAUCCCCGGGCUUAACCUGGGAAUGGCAUUUGGGACUGCAAGGCUUGAGUGCGGCAGAGGAGACUGGAAUUCCUGGUGUAGCAGUGAAAUGCGUAGAUAUCAGGAGGAACACCGGUGGCGAAGGCGGGUCUCUGGGCCGUAACUGACGCUGAGGAGCGAAAGCAUGGGGAGCGAACAGG
rnacentral:rRNA from 1 species